AGUCAGAAACAUUUUUUGAAAGUAUAUAGUUGUGUAUAGAUAUAUAGCAAAGCAAAUAAUAAAAAAUAUAAAUUUGUCUUUAUAAAUGUCUUUUAGGAUUUCAAUUUAUGUUGAUAAGUAGGAAUAUGUAUAAUACGUUAUAUAAACAUACUCUGGAAGCAGUGACUUACCUGUAUAUUUAUAUAUAGAAUUUUGUUUGCAGUACAUAUAUGAACCAGAAUAAACGAUUGACUUGAGUAUAUAAUUAAACACUUAUCCUAAUGGCGUGCAAGUGAGCCUCUCUAGGACAUGCUUAUUAAUGCAUAAAGCUUUUGGCUAUUUUUUUUGAUGAUUGAAAAGGGAAGAAGAAGAAAAGGAAGGAAGAAAUAGAAACAGUGAGUGAGAAAGCAGGAGAUGAUAAAGGAAAGGAAUUAUGGUAUGCGAAGAUGAUACAGCGACUUACAUACUACAGUAAAACCUGGAUAAAUUCAACCAAGAUUGGGACCCAGUGGUUGCGUUUACCUAAGCACGGUAUCGAAGCUCGGAUGACACGCGACGACCAGCCAAGCGUGAACGUAGAAAGGGACAGACAG